ACAGACCUGCCUGAGAAGCCCUGAUCUGGGACUCUCCUACAAACAGCCUGCUCAGAAGGGGCCUUCUCAUCCCAUGCCUACAACAUGAAAGCAGAAAUGCUAAAGAAAUGCACAUUGACUUCGGUGGAAGGGGGGAAGCCCCAUUUCAAAGGUGUGUCUGACACAACAAGUUGUGUCCAGGUGAUUGCUUUGAGAACAAGGCAGCUGGGGGCAGGUUGAGGUAGGGGCUGCUUGGCAGUACUAAGCCUCUGAAGAGACCAGAAGAGGAGACCCCAACAGACAAGACACAAGCAUAGGGUGCACCACAUAGAGGAGGGGCUCCUGCCUCCUCAUUCCUCCUCCAGUUGGACCUUAUCUGCCAGCGACACGGGCACACUGUGUGGGAGGCUGGCUGUGGCCUGUCCCGAUAAAACUCAGCUGGACCUGAAGAGCAGGUUCAAGGAUGACGUAAGGACAUGUGCACACCUCCUGACACCACAUGCAGGUCACUGUUGGAGGACAUCGUAAAGGGAGCAAUGCAGAGGAACUGGUAGCCGAGGAAGGCCACAAGGGUGUAAGGAGCUGCAAGUCUCUGGUGAAAUGACAAGUCAGCAAAGUGUUAAGUAUGCAGAAGAAAAGGUAGAAACAACACGUGGUUGGUGGUACCUGCACCAAAACACUACUGAACACAUGGCAAGUCACCAGUAUGAUCUGAACACAACCCUGAUGUCAUGCCCUCCCCCAGCUGACACUCUUGAGGGCCAGACCUCCUCUGAGACCAUCUUUGCCACGUCUACCCUGUAAAACCAGUGUUUUCCUUGCACUCUCCACUGUGUAACUCCUCAGAACCUGAAUGAUGCAAGUCUUAAUGAAAGACGCAGAAUGAGUGGCCCCAAGUGGCCCCCACUGGCCCCGUGCAACUUGUCAUGCAGUAAUAUUCAGGAAAGAAAAUAAAAAUACAAUUGAAGGAGGGUCUUACAAGAACGGCCCAUGGUUCAUGUGAAUGAUGAUCAUGACCUGGCACAAGCAGUUGCAAAGAACUGUCAGCUAGAGGAAAGGGGCACAGCUGGAAGCCAGGGAUGUGGACACAGUCACCCAGCCAGGGAGAAGGCAAACAAGGUGGGAUCCAUUAAGUUAACUUCAAGACUCCUGACUUCCAGACCCUUACCUGCACUUUUUGAAGUAACAGGUCUCCCUGGCUCCAGCGUUCUGAGAAUGAAGGAAAACUCCUGAGGCACAACUUCCCCUUACACUUUCUGCUGCCUGUAGACACAAGAGCCUCGGUCAGCCCAAUGCUCCAGGUGUCUGAAGAGACGAGCCUUCCUCUGCUAAAACUACCUGGGGCAGACAGCCUGUCCAGCAAUGUCUCUACAAGACUACUACUAUCAACUCAACAUGAUUCAGGGAAAUAAGAGGAAAGAAUGACUUGAUUAAAAAAGAGACCCUCACAGACCCCAAACCUGCAACCCUCCUGACCUGGAGCCCACUAUGCUUUGGGUCAUGGAAAUGCACCCCACAAGCUUGGCACAGCUACCAGGUUAUCCUCAAGAGAGCAUGAAGCUGGGGUGCGUGGGUGGCUCAGUGGGUUAAGCUGCUGCCUUCGGCUCAGGUCAUGAUCCCAGGGUCCUGGG